CCUCGGAGAGUUUGAUCCUGGCUCAGGACGAACGCUGGCGGCGUGCCUAAUACAUGCAAGUCGAGCGGACAGAAGGGAGCUUG
rnacentral:rRNA from 1 species